UAAGGACGAUGCUAAGCCUCC
rnacentral:siRNA from 1 species